rnacentral:rRNA from 1 species
ACGUACACUCCUGCGGGAGGCAGCAGUGGGGAAUAUUGGACAAUGGGCGCAAGCCUGAUCCAGCCAUGCCGCGUGAGUGAUGAAGGCCCUAGGGUUGUAAAGCUCUUUCACCGGUGAAGAUAAUGACGGUAACCGGAGAAGAAGCCCCGGCUAACUUCGUGCCAGCAGCCGCGGUAAUACGAAGGGGGCUAGCGUUGUUCGGAUUUACUGGGCGUAAAGCGCACGUAGGCGGACUAUUAAGUCAGGGGUGAAAUCCCGGGGCUCAACCCCGGAACUGCCUUUGAUACUGGUAGUCUUGAGUUCGAGAGAGGUGAGUGGAAUUCCGAGUGUAGAGGUGAAAUUCGUAGAUAUUCGGAGGAACACCAGUGGCGAAGGCGGCUCACUGGCUCGAUACCGACGCUGAGGUGCGAAAGCGUGGGGAGCAAACAGGAUUAGAAACCCUUGUAGUCCCAUGAU